GGUACUGGAGUAGCAGGGUCUCAGCGGUCAACCGAUAUAUUCCCAAUGCCCACCACAAGCUAGGUCAUAUCUGGCUUGCCCUACUUCCAAGAUGGAUCCUGUGGCACUCAAGAAGUCCAGCCCAGCAAUCAGUGGAAAGGCAAGAUUGGUGUUUUUCAAUAUGUAUGUGUUUACCCCUUACUUAUUUUCAUGCCACUGAUAGUGAAUCUUUUGCAGGUCUCUGGUCUGGUGAAUAGUGCCAUCACACAUGAGGAAUUUCUGAGGGAUGGAGGCACCACCAGGAGAGAAGUACCUUUGCCACAUUUACCCUGGCCAGAUUCUUGUUCACCAACCUUCACCAGCUGCUCCACAGUGUUCACUGUUCCCCGUGGACAACCGGCAACCCUGGGGUUAUUGUUUUUCAAGAUGCGACUCACAAGUUCCUCCUCAGAGAUCCCUGGCUUCCACUUCAAGCAGAAGGCCCGAUAGUCAUAGGCUAAAUCCCUCAGGCGUUGUUUUGGCUGUUGGACCAUCAUCCUCAACCUCUCCUCCACUUCUGAGAGCUCUGUGCAGGUCCUCUCAGGACUGUGCUUAGAGUUCCAAUGAGCUUGGUGCUGGGAAGGGGCCUGAUCUCCAAGAAGUUCUCACAUUGUUCUAGAAAGUUGAGCAGAUCCGCUGUCUCACAUGAGUCGCCAAACACAAGGAACUCAAGGCAUAUGGGAGGCCUUCCACAGAAUGAGGAUGAGGUAGCCAUUACUGAGGAAGUAUGAACAUUUAAGUGGGUGAGAAUGUACAGGGGAAGGAAUAUCAUAUGUUGUACUGUGUAAACUUUGUGUUGGUAUUUUGUCUCUAGAUACAGGAGCUGUGGUCUGCGAAUCGUGGACUGCAGAAAUGUGGGAGGAAGAUGGUGUAUAGGAUUGCAAUCUGGUGAGAUUAGAAGUGCUAGUGUAUCUCAGAUUUUCAUUUGAAUCUCCCAUUUAGUGUCUCGCCUGAGAAAACUUAUUGAAAUAAUCCUCCAGGUCUGCCAAGCUAGCGUCCACAGCCUCCCUGAAACUUUG
ensembl:lncRNA